UAAUACAUGCAAGUCGAGCGGACAGAUGGGAGCUUGCUCCCUGAUGUUAGCGGCGGACGGGUGAGUAACACGUGGGUAACCUGCCUGUAAGACUGGGAUAACUCCGGGAAACCGGGGCUAAUACCGGAUGCUUGUUUGAACCGCAUGGUUCAGACAUAAAAGGUGGCUUCGGCUACCACUUACAGAUGGACCCGCGGCGCAUUAGCUAGUUGGUGAGGUAACGGCUCACCAAGGCGACGAUGCGUAGCCGACCUGAGAGGGUGAUCGGCCACACUGGGACUGAGACACGGCCCAGACUCCUACGGGAGGCAGCAGUAGGGAAUCUUCCGCAAUGGACGAAAGUCUGACGGAGCAACGCCGCGUGAGUGAUGAAGGUUUUCGGAUCGUAAAGCUCUGUUGUUAGGGAAGAACAAGUGCCGUUCAAAUAGGGCGGCACCUUGACGGUACCUAACCAGAAAGCCACGGCUAACUACGUGCCAGCAGCCGCGGUAAUACGUAGGUGGCAAGCGUUGUCCGGAAUUAUUGGGCGUAAAGGGCUCGCAGGCGGUUUCUUAAGUCUGAUGUGAAAGCCCCCGG
rnacentral:rRNA from 1 species